rnacentral:rRNA from 1 species
UACAGAGGGUGCAAGCGUUGUUCGGAAUUAUUGGGCGUAAAGCGCGUGUAGGCGGCUUUGCAAGUCGGGUGUGAAAGCCCUGGGCUCAACCUAGGAAGUGCACUCGAAACUCCCGAACUGGAGUCCCGGAGAGGAAGGUGGAAUUCUCGGUGUAGAGGUGAAAUUCGUAGAUAUCGAGAGGAACAUCGGUGGCGAAGGCGGCCUUCUGGACGGUGACUGACGCUGAGACGCGAAAGCGUGGGGAGCAAACAGG